CGUGACUCGGAGUGGGCGCUCUAUCAAAGCUUUCGCAGGGAAUGUUCCAUCGGGCUGAGGCUGGCAGGGGGAAGAGCGGAUCGUGCCUGCAGUUGGGAAAGACUACCUCAUCUUCCAGCUUCUCUUGAUAGAAGUCCGUGCUCUAGUGCCAGCUCCAGAGAAAGGAGAUUUAGAUGGAAACAACAUCACAUUCAAUGAAGCUGGGAUUUUCCAGGUCUCCUGUUUACCCAGUGUAACUACAGGAUCACAGUUGAAACAUGAAUAUUUGGGAACCAGCACACAGACACUUGAAGGGCACGAACGAAGCCUCAGUAGGCACAGCGGGCACUUGAUGGCAUGAAUGAAGCCUCAAGUUAUAGUGAGUAUAGAGAUGGAGAGAGAGAGGGAAAAGGAUCAUCAUGCACUGGACAAUGGAGAGAGUAUAUCCUGGAAAGACCCAGGGACCUCCAAGUGGAAGGAUAGUACGUGCACUGGCAUUGUUCUUAAGAGGACCUGCUGGUUAUCCUGACACAGAGGAGAUUUGGGGAAACAACAGUUGUGCUGAUACUUCUCCGCUGAGGCUGGAAGAGCGCUAGCUCUUGAAACUGCUGGAGAAGACAGAAGACAACGUGAAUAAUAAAUAAAUAAGUAUGUAAAUAAAGCUCUUAAGAAGACUAGAUGCAAUACACAUAAACGCACAAAACUAUGAAACAAAACGCAUGAUUUUGCUCCCUUUUUAAAUUGAGGCUUUGUGUUCAGUGAAAUGCACAAAUUUUAAGUUCACAGUUUGAUGAGCUCUGAUUAAUCCAUUUACCCAUGUAAACCACACACCCAGUUCUAUAUAGAACAUUUCCAAUACCUUGUACUACUUCCUGUAAAUUCCAACUCUUACCUAUUUCCCCCUCCCCAGGAAAUUUCUUAUCUUCUAUUACCAUAGAUUAGUUUUGUUUGAUUCAGAACUUCAUGUACCCAAAACCGCAUUAUGUGUACUUUUUGAUGUUUGACUUUUUUCACUCAGUGUAAUGUUUUAGAGAUUCAUUCAUGUUGUUGCAUGUAUCUGUAAGUUUUUCUUUUUUAAUGCUGAGUAGUAUUCUAUUGAGUGAGUAUACCACACAUUUUUAUUCACUUUCCUGAUGAUGGACAUGUGAGUUGUUUUCACUUGGGGCUAUUAUCAAUAAAGCAUCUAUAACAUUUUUACACAAACAUAUGAAAACCAUUAUUUUUAAAACACAACACUGAAAGUACACUGAAGGAGAAUGAUUGAAUCUUGCUAAUUGUUCUGAAAAGUGGAAAAAAUAUCUCAAAACAGAGCAAAAUAUAUAAAGAGAGAAAUUAUGAUCUUUCUGAUAUCCAAGGAAAUAUUACAGACAGGUAAAGAAAAAAAAGUGGUGAAAAAGUCAAGUCACUUUGAAGAUAAAGAGAACUGAUAUAUUACUAUUUGGAGUUCUAGAGGAAAAGAAAAGAACAAAUAAAAGAGAGGUAAUAAUUAAGCAAGUAAUAAUAGAAAACUACCCUGGCCUAAAGACAGACUUGGCAUUUGCAGGUGAAAGGGGUCACUGAGUUCCAGGAAAGAUCAAUGAGAAAAGACAUAUCUAGGCAGAUCCAAGGAAAGUUCCUUUAAAGAGAAAUCUUAAAAACUUUCAGGUGGAAAAAACAGCUUACGAAAAGAAGAACAAGGAGGACAGGGU